rnacentral:misc_RNA from 1 species
UGUGGGAGCGAGCUUGCUCGCGUUGGCGUCAGGUCAGCCGAUACUCAUGUGGCUGACACUCCGCCAUCGCGAGCAAGCUCGCUCCCACA